AUCCCGUGGUGAGGGCACCUUCUCAAUAGAUCUUUGUAUCUCUCUCAUGUAUCUUAGAGUGUUUCUAAAUCCAUCUGCACAAAAAAAGAAAUAUCAUUCAUUAAUUU
rnacentral:snoRNA from 1 species